AACCUUAGUUUGUGUUGAUAUGUUGAAACAGUCUGCGUUACAUGAAUAUACAUGAGUCUUGCUUUAGACUAUAAUUUUCUGUUUGGAGCAGUGUAGCAUAUGUAUUCUUUGCUUAGAUCAAGUUUUGGUGAACAUCACACACAUAGAGCAUCUCUAUAGCAUAUAUGAAAUUAUCUGAGUGUAUGAUGUUAUGUCUAUAGUUUGGUUUGAAAUUAUAUUCUUGGAUCUCGAUGAUUCACUGAGGUAAUUUGGGCUGAAAUUCUGUUAUGGC
rnacentral:lncRNA from 1 species